rnacentral:rRNA from 1 species
GACAGAGGAUGCAAGCGUUAUCCGGAAUGAUUGGGCGUAAAGCGUCUGUAGGUGGCUUUUCAGGUCCGCCGUCAAAUCCCAGGGCUCAAUGCUAGACAGGCGGUGGAAACUACCAAGCUGGAGUACGGUAGGGGCAGAGGGAAUUUCCGGUGGAGCGGUGAAAUGCAUUGAGAUCGGAAAGAACACCAACGGCAAAAGCACUCUGCUAGGCUGACACUGACACUGAGAGACGAAAGCUAGGGGAGCAAAUGGG